rnacentral:rRNA from 1 species
AGAGUUUGAUCCUGGCUCAGGAUGAACGCUGGCGGCGUGCCUAAUACAUGCAAGUCGAACGAGGUGCUUUUGUAGCAAUACGAGAGUAUCCUAGUGGCGAACGGGUGAGUAACGCGUUGGUGACCUGCCCCAAAGUGUGGGAUAACAGUCCGAAAGGAUUGCUAAUACCGCAUGUGGUCAUCGGGUUUAGAAACCGGUGACUAAAGGAGUAAUCCGCUUUGGGAGGGGCCUGCGUCCCAUCAGCUAGUUGGUAGGGUAACGGCCUACCAAGGCGACGACGGGUAGGGGACCUGAGAGGGUGGCCCCCCACAAUGGAACUGAAACACGGUCCAUACACCUACGGGUGGCAGCAGUAGGGAAUAUUGCUCAAUGGGCGAAAGCCUGAAGCAGCAACGCCGCGUGCGCGAUGAAGGUCUUCGGAUCGUAAAGCGCUUUUCUGCGAGAUGAGAAAGGACAGUAUCGUAGGAAUAAGUCUCGGCUAACUACGUGCCAGCAGCCGCGGUAA